UCUAUCUUUGACGUCAUAAUGACUUACUUCUGCUCUUGCACUUUCCAUUGAACGAACGUCAAAUCGCCAAUAUGUUUCAAAUUAAAGGUUUGCUAUUUAUAUUUUUUUGAAAGAUAAGACAUAUGCAUUAUGUUUUCCUCCUUAUAUGUUUAAAAUAUGCUUCUUUUGCUUGUUUUCAAUUAUAUUCUCGCGCAUGCUCAAUUCCUCAUAUUUACCAAUCCGUGUCGCCAACACUCUUGUCAGUCUAGACAUCGAUGAUUUUCCCACGGGCAGGUGCGUGAGGAGAGAGGACAGAAAACGAAGCAGAAAUGCCGUUCGGGGUGACGAAAUGAAAAGUUAAUAAUAUUCCUCCACCUCUUUACAUUUUCCAAGCAACAUUUGGACCAAGUCAUCAGUUCCAUACCUCUUGGCUGAAAUUAAAUAAAAUGAACCAUGAGACUUUCAAAUGGCAUGAAGAAUGAAAGUUUUAAAAGAUAUAUGUAAAAGUACCAAUGUAAUGGAUCUCUUCUUUGGCUGAUUGGUAUCCUUUGAUUGAUGAAGUGAAGACACUUGACAUCAACUGGUGGUCAAUAUCCAGCAUCUGCUUCCCAAUACUACAAAUACUACCUUCUGGUGCCUGAUGACCACUUAGCCCUUCCUCAUCCUGGUGCUGUUUGACCAGUGAUUUCUUUAAGUCUCUAUUACCUGUUGA